rnacentral:rRNA from 1 species
CAGCCGCCGCGGUAAUACGGAGGAUGCGAGCGUUAUCCGGAUUUAUUGGGUUUAAAGGGAGCGCAGACGGGUUUUUAAGUCAGCUGUGAAAGUUUGGGGCUCAACCUUAAAAUUGCAGUUGAUACUGGAGACCUUGAGUGCAGUUGAGGCAGGCGGAAUUCGUGGUGUAGCGGUGAAAUGCUUAGAUAUCACGAAGAACUCCGAUUGCGAAGGCAGCUUGCUAAAGUGUAACUGACGUUCAUGCUCGAAAGUGUGGGUAUCAAACAGGAUUAGAUACCCUGGUAGUCCACACGGUAAACGAUGGAUACUCGCUGUUGGCGAUAUACGGUCAGCGGCUGAGCGAAAGCGUUAAGUAUCCCACCUGGGGAGUACGGCCGCAAGGUUGAAACUUAAAGGAAUUGGCGGG